AUUGAACGCUGGCGGAAUGCUUUACACAUGCAAGUCGAACGAUGAGACCUAGCUUGCUAGGUUGAUUAGUGGCGAACGGGUGAGUAAUGUAUCGGAACGUAUCCAAUAAUGGGGGAUAACUAAUCGAAAGGUUGGCUAAUACCGAAUACGCCCUACGGGGGCACGCAGGGGAUCUUCGGAACUUGCGUUAAUGGAGCGGUCGAUAUCUGAUUAGCUAGUUUGUGAGGUAAAAGCUCACCAAGGCGACGAUCAGUAGCUGGUUUGAGAGGACGACCAGCCAGACUGGAACUGAAACACGGUCCAGACUCCUACGGGAGGCAGCAGUGAGGAAUUUUGGACAAUGGGCGAAAGCCUGAUCCAGCCAUUCCGCGUGAGUGAAGAAGGCCUUCGGGUUGUAAAGCUCUUUCGCAAGGGAAGAAACGAUGCAGUCGAAUAAACUGUGUUAAUGACGGUACCUUGAUAAGAAGCACCGGCUAACUACGUGCCAGCAGCCGCCGUAAGAC
rnacentral:rRNA from 1 species